GACCUCCAAAAAAGCCCCAAACUCUCUCUCUCUCUCUCUCUCUCUCUCUGCAUUGCAUGCUCUGAUUCUUCGUAGGUCAAUCCGUUCCUCUUGCAGCUCUUCCUUCUCUCUCUUCUUUCUCUCUCUUCUCUCUCUUCUCUCUCUCUCUCUCUCUGGGAUUCUACAUGAGACGAUCGGCCGCCGCUGGAUCUUCCUCGUUGUCGCGACUGGAGAGAGCCGUUUCUUUAUUGAGCUUUAAUAGAGGAAACUUCAUAUUGGGUUGAUUUCUUGUGAAGCUAAGAUUGGUGGAGAUGCCUCGCGAUAUAUCAAGGUCUCGUUCACCUUCAUAUAGGCGAAGGCGUUCACCUUCUCCUUUGGGGCAUAGGUAUAGCCACAGGAGUCGAAGAGACAGAAGCCGCUCUCCCUAUUCAUCUUAUUCCUAUAGCAGGUGAUCCCGUUUAUAUCUUGGCGUAAUUUAAUUUUAACAGUUGUAAGAAAGAAAGCGGCUUUUGUGUAACUCUUGCUGAAAUGAAAUGCAAAGACGUCAAUUUGGCCUGCGCGAGGCACAUCCUUCCUCUAUGGAUGUUGCUGUUUCACCCAUAUUUCUGCUGAAUGUGGUUUAGCUCCGAAUGUGAAGGAUGCUUGAUGCUACGAGAUGUUAAAGUAGAUGUUAUGUGAGUAUCAUUUUAUUAUCAGAUGUAAGCUGAGGCAUUGCAGUAUGAAAAAUUUGAUGCAUAUUGUCAGGUAAGAGUCGUUACAUGACUCGAUGUUCUAGUGAAAACAUGAAAAAGGUUUGAUAUGAAGAUGCAGUCCUUAGAAAUUUUCGGCAUGUAACUUACUGCAUGAGUGAGUUUAUGCCACUUGAUUGUGCAAUUUGGUGGGCAUAGUUUUUGAGCAGACGCAAACUUGAUAUUCAAGUCUUGCUUGACUAUUAAAUUUUGGCUGCUUGGGUUUAAGUUGCGACUUCUCUCUGUAUGGGCUUCGAAACUCUACCUGGUCCAUACCUACUUCCCGAUGACCAAGCUGAGUCUUUAAAGAGUACAAAAGAAUUUGGUGAAUGUUCAUGAUCUGGCUGGUGGGUAUUUGGUUUUGGGAGCUUCUACACUGAAAAUCAACAGGAAGCUUAGAUAGACAUCAGGGCUUCAAUAGACAGUGUAAUGAAAACAAGAUGACGCAUAGCAUUCCUCGUGAUAUUAAGGAAAUUCAAUUUGAUCCUAUCUUGUGGGAGGUCGGCAGGUUAUGAAUGCUGGUCAGUGUGCUUUUGUUGCUCGAUUCUGACUUUAGCUUCAUGUGAUAAAAGAUGGAGCUUCUUAACAGUAUCUGAGGUAACUGUAAACGUUUCCUGCUUAUUGUCUCUUGGUGCUGACUUGAUAUGCAUGAGAAUAUUUAAUGUGUAAUCUUGUAUUACCUGCUGAAUAGUUUCUAUUGCAAUAUACAGAAGGAAAAGUCGUUCUAUAUCUCUGCGGCGACGCAAGAGUUGUUCUCCAACAGUGAGGCGUCACAAAAGCCGCUCCCCUACCCCAAAGCGCUACAGAAGGCAAAAGAGUAGAAGUCCCUCAUUGGCUCCUACUCAUAGCUCUUCUAGUCCAAGCCUUGGGUCUGUGGAGCGCAAAAGUGCCGUUGAGAAAUUGAGAAAGGAAGAAGAAGAGAGGAAAAGGUAGAUCUGAGUCAAGUUAUGUUUCUCUGCUGUGUUCUAAUUCUGAUUUUCCCCUCUGUUUCUUUCUUUUCAUUUUGCUAGGUCUUUCCCUUUUGAUCUUUUUAUCCAACUGGAUGAGAGUUGUUUUUUUUUUUUUUUUGUUUUUUUUUUUAAGGGGGAGGGAGGUUGGUGUGGUGGAAUUGAAGGAUUUGUUUGUUAGAAUAUGCUAUUUCUUGGGAGAGCUUUAUAUAUCAUUUCCUAAUCAUACAGUAGGGGAAGAAUGGCUUGGACUUGGAUUUUUCUAUUUCAUACGUAUAUGAGCCAUGUUUAGAACAAGUGUUUUUUUAUUUCGUUGGGAAUUCGUUAUGGUUAUUUCUCAUUGAUGGAUCUUUUUUUCUUUAUUUUUAUUAACGGAAUUGUUUGAGGACUUAAUUUUAUGGAAGAUUUGUCUGUGAAGAACUAGAAGCACAAGAACUAGAGGUAUUUGCAUUUGUACAUUGCUAAGAAAGUAUCUUGAAUUUAACUUUUCAUCGGAAUGCUGUUGAGUGCCAGCUCAUCCAAUUUUGACUAAUUUUACAUAAUUUAAGAGUUGAUAAUUUAUUCUUGAGUUGGUGCUGAUCAUGCCUUAGUUCAUUGUCACUUUUCAGUGUUCAAAUUCGAGAGACAUCAAGAAAGUGCAUUCUAAUGUAUUAUUAUGUGGGAGAAGACAUUCUUUAUGGGGACAAAAGAACAUGUACAUUAAAGAACAACCAAAAUUUUCUCUCUCCUGAAUUAGUUAUGUAGUAGUAUUAUGAGCGGGCCUUAGGGCAUGAGUUCUUCCAUAAGAAAGGAGUUGAAAGCAUGAUCACUGCAUUGACUAUGAGUUGGUGACAAUUAUGAGGUUAUUUCUGGGGAUUCUAUAAUUGAUACGCAAAGCAUUGUAUGCUUGAUAUGCAUUGUAGACACUUUAAUAUGAAUUUUUGGGAUGAAUGGUUAAUUCACAAGGCAAUAUAUGUUUGAUAUGCUCGGUACUCUCUCUUGAGCGAUUAUAUCUAUUACUCUUGUUUGUUCCUUGAUUAAUGAUUGAUGUAUAUGCAUCAAGUUAGCUGUUCUCAUGUACAAGUGUCAACUUACAAUGUUACAAUACAUGGUAAAUACAUUGUGGACGCAUUUUCUGACAGCUUAAGCUAAUGAGGAAACGGCCAGUUCGCACGUAAUGCAUAUGGCACUGAUGCUUGCUUUAGUGAAGCUCUUAGUAGUGGGGUUCAUAUUCUUCUGGUAUAUGGGAGAUUUCAAAUGGCAUUAACAUCAAUUGUGAUCUGGAAAUAGAAAACGAAGUUCAUGCACUAGGUUUACACUAUUACAAUCAUCAAAUCAUCCAGUCCUAUAAAGAUAGGAGGGGUUUGUUAAUCAGAAAAGGGUAGUUAAUAAGGCACAGUUGCUUGAUUGUUUAAUUGCUAUCUGUUCUCGUCACUCUAUCCCAUCAUGUUUCCUGGAUUUAUUGUUUGUUUAAGUUGACAUGGAUUGUGUGCAUAUGAUUGUUAAACAAAGUUUCAUUCAGUUAUUCCACUUUGUGGUGGUCAUCACAUUAUUUGAGUAGCAGUCUGCUAUCUGCUCUGUUUAGCCUGCGAUUAAUUUUUGAGUCAGUGAUUUGACAAGAUCUUGAUUUAGAUGUCUUACUGUGUUUUCAUACUGAUUUAAUGAGAUGACUUGUCAAUCGUCAUUACUUUUAUCUUUUUAAAGCAAUUUAGCCGUCUGAAAUAGUUCUCCAUUGCUGUGCGUAUUGAGCAUUGGAUGCUCAGUGGGAGCCACAAGCGAAUAGCAAAAGUGUAGACUGAGAACGGAGUGUAUGAACAUUCGUUACAUAUGCUUUGCUUCAUGGGGAUUGUAGGUGGUUUCUAAUUCAGUCAUCUCGCCUGUCAUGUUUCUGCUGUGUUGUGAUGGAGCUUAGGAUUUUCCCUAACGGUUCUUUUCACUAUGGAGUUACGAAUUCUAGCCAUCUAUCUAUUGGUGCCUUUUGUGGCAAAGCAGAAGAAUGUGUCAAUGUAGGCCUCCGCAGAUCUUUCCUCUAAAAUGUAUUUUAGUGCAGGUUCUGAAGAAUUUCACUGAGUAGGAUUAAAACUGCGGCAUGUUACUUGACAUUCUCCACAGGAUUUUCUGGAGGAAGAUACUGCUAUUAAGUCAAGUUCUUAGUAUUUGAUGGGUGCUUCGUUUAUCUACUGUUCCAGUUUUGAAUCUCAUUUAUUUGGAUCUGGAAUCAAUUAGAGAUUGGAAAUAGUUGAGUUAAUAAAAUGAGGAAAGAAGCAUGGAAUGUGGGAAAACCAAUUUGGUUAUUUUUUUCCUCGUUUGAGCUUUUCGUCACAUCAUUCUGCUCUUGGUGGGUGUUCAUUUUUCCUGGUUGACUUUUCUCUUUCUUUAUAGGCGUCAGCGCGAGGCAGAAUUGAAAUUAAUCGAAGAGGAAACUGCUAAGAGGGUAGAGGAAGCUAUCCAGAAGAAAGUGGAAGAGAGCUUGAGCUCUGCUGAGAUCCAACUAGAGGUACAAAGAAGGUUGGAGGAAGGCCGGAGAAGGCUUCAUGAUGAAGUUGCAGCACAGCUUGAAAAAGAAAAGGAAAUUGGCCUUAUUCAGGCCAGACAAAAGGAGGAGCAAGUGCGAAGAGAGAAAGAGGAACUAGAAAGGAUGCUGGAGGAGAACAGGAGGAGAGUAGAAGAAGCUCAGAGAAAGGAAGCUUUAGAGCAGCAGAGGAGGGAAGAGGAACGGUAUUUGGAGCUGGAGAAGCUCCAGAGGCAGAAAGAGGAGGCUUUGCGGAGGAAGAAACAGGAAGAGGAGGAGCAACGGCUAAAUCAGAUGAAAGUGUUGGGCAAGAACAAAUUGCGGCCCAAGUUGUCAUUUGCUCUUGGCUCAAAAUGAAAUUGUUGAAGGUAGUUUGUUCCAUAUGUGCACUUGGCUUUUUUUUUCGCAUCUUGGUGUCCAGGUUAUGGGGAAAUACAUGGAUAGAUACAAUUGUAGCGGUAUCAGUUCUUCUCUGAUGACCAGCUUGUAUGAUUCUUUUUCCCCUUUAUUAUAUGGAAGUGCGGUCUUUAGGUAGUUGCAGUUGCUGAUUACCCAACAAAUGAAAGAACCAUGAGAUUUUGUUU